rnacentral:tRNA from 1 species
GCCUGAUUGACUCAGAGGUUGAGUAUCUGCCUUUGGCUCAGAAAAUGGGAUCGAGUCCCACUCAGGCA